GUGUAGAAUUUGAAUUUUGAGUGUGAUGUUAGUGUUUUGCAACUUUUUUAGAGGCUAUUAAAAUUUAGGCUUAAACCAGGAUUAGAUACCCUGUUAUACUAAAUCAGAAAUAAAGUUACUUGAGUAGUACAAGUUAUGAUCUCGAAACUUAAAGGAUAUGGCGGUACUCGAGUCUGGUUAGAGGAACCUGCUCCGUGAACGAUAUGCCACGAAUUAUCUUACUUUAUCUUGUAUCUCAGCAUGUAUAUCGCCAUCAUUAAAUGGAAUUAUGAAAUAUCCAUUGAAAUAAGUAGGUAUUUAGUAGAUUAGGUCAAGGUGCAGCUGAUGAUAAAGUGGAAGUGGGUUACAUUGCAUUAUAUGCAUACGGAUAGCAAUACCUGAAAGUGGGGGCUUGAAGGUGGAUUUAAUUGUAUUUUUAUUUUAAUAAGUUAAGGUGAUAAUAGCUCUGGAGUGUGUACAUAUUGCCCGUCGCUCUCAUUAUUAUAAGUAAGGUGAGAUA
rnacentral:rRNA from 1 species